AUUGAACGCUGGCGGCAGGCUCAACACAUGCAAGUCGAGCGGAGAUGAGGUGCUUGCACCUUAUCUUAGCGGCGGACGGGUGAGUAAUGCUUAGGAAUCUGCCUAUUAGUGGGGGACAACAUUCCGAAAGGAAUGCUAAUACCGCAUACGUCCUACGGGAGAAAGCAGGGGAUCUUCGGACCUUGCGCUAAUAGAUGAGCCUAAGUCGGCUUAGCUAGUUGGUGGGGUAAAGGCCUACCAAGGCGACGAUCUGUAGCGGGGCUGCGAGGAUGACCCGCCACACUGGGACUGAGACACGGCCCAGACUCCUACGGGAGGCAGCAGUGGGGAAUAUUGGACAAUGGGGGGAACCCUGAUCCAGCCAUGCCGCGUGUGUGAAGAAGGCCUUAUGGUUGUAAAGCACUUUAAGCGAGGCGGAGGCUACUGAGACUAAUACUCUUGGAUAGUGGACGUUACUCGCAGAAUAAGCACCGGCUAACUCUGUGCCAGCCGCCGCGGUAAAAC
rnacentral:rRNA from 1 species